AGCCUUCUGUAUUCGUGCUGAGAUUUCCUCACACACCAGGCUGAUGACACCCCCCAGAUAAGUGGAGCG
rnacentral:pre_miRNA from 1 species